rnacentral:lncRNA from 1 species
GCCUAUCACCUUGGUCAGAAUUGGUGCCCAAAGGGUACUCAAAGGGCGGGGCCCAUACUCCUUGGUAGCUAGGGAGAAAGUAAGCAUCCCCACUGAUUGAAUACCUCCACCUGGCCUGACCCACCCUUGUAUUUAGGCUUUGUUACCUGGGACUAGUUUGUGGGACUUGUUUUAAGUAAGUUCCCUGGGGGAAGGGGGGGCAGGGACAGUUUAAGUUUUACUGUAUAAACAGCAAGGUCAUUGUUUAACCAGAUGGAAUCGCUCUGGCUAAAUAGGCCCUUACAGUAUUGCAUCCCCUUGUCAUAACUGCUUCCCAGAACACAGAACACAUUCUUUCUCUUACUCCACACCCACAGCUGCAAGAGAGAGCAAGAGCGAGAGGCAUAGAGAGAGAGAGGAGAGACAGAGAGAGGGAAGAGACAGAGACAGACGCUGCCUGCAGCCAAGCUGCCACUUUGCUAUUAUCCUACUCCUGCUCUUACCAUUUUUUGGCUUUUUUGUUAUUUAAAAUGGCACCCAAACACAGCUGAAGCAGUGAAGUGUUGUCUAGUUUUCCCAAGAGCAAGAAGACUAUGAUGUGCCUUAUGAAGAAAAUUCUGUGUGAUGGAUAAGCUUCAUUCAGGCAUGAGCUCUUGUACUGUUGGCCAUGAUUUCAAUAUUUAGGAAUCAAUGAUAUAUAUCAAAGAAGAUGUUCUUAAACAGAAACAUACAUAAAAAUGAUGUUACAUACUGAUUGGCUGAUAAAAGUGUUGUGACCAGUGCCAUGCCGGAAACUAACCCUGUGUAUCCC